ACGGAGGAUGCAAGCGUUAUCCGGAUUUAUUGGGUUUAAAGGGUGCGCAGGCGGAAAAAUAAGUCAGUGGUGAAAUCCUGCAGCUUAACUGUAGAAUUGCCGUUGAUACUGUUAUUCUUGAGUGUGGUCAAGGUAGGCGGAAUGUGUAAUGUAGCAGUGAAAUGCGUAGAUAUCACGAGGAACACCCAUUGCGAAGGCAGCUUACUGGGCCAUCACUGACGCUCAGGCACGAAAGCGUGGGGAUCAAACAG
rnacentral:rRNA from 1 species